rnacentral:lncRNA from 1 species
GCAGCAGCCCCAACAGCAACAAUCUGCUCCUGGAACUGCUGCACCUACUGAGGCUAGUAGCUACAAUUACAGCCAGCCUGCCACUUAUGCCUCACAAGGUUAUGGCGAUUCUACCUACUCUCAGCAGAGCGGUGGGCAGCAAGCUUAUGAUUACUCUGCUUAUCAGAACCAAGGGCAGCAGCAGCAGGCGUACUCUCAGCAGACUGGUUAUGAUCAGCAAAGCUAUGGCGCAACUGGCUAUGGAUCAGCUGCUAACUCAACACAGGAGGGUUCCGCUCCAAGCUAUGGUGGUCCAGGUGGGGCAGGUGGGGCUACUCAAGUAUCUCCGGGGCAACAAGCUUCAACUCCAGCUACUGGAAGCCACCCUGGUUAUUCUAGCCAACCACCUACUAGUGCUGCAGCAAGCUAUCCGGCUCAAGGUUCUGCCCCUCAAUCUGGAUAUGUCGCUCCACAGACACAGCCUGGCUAUGGUACCCAGGGCCCGCCACAGGGUGGCGGGUAUGGUCAGGGUGCUUAUGGGCAGUCUCCUCAGGGUCAGAAACCACCUGCAUCUGCUCCUUAUGGACAGGCACCACCUGCUGGAUCUUCUCAGGCUGGUUAUGGGCAGUAUGGUUACAGCCAGCCAGGCUAUGGUGCACCACCGCCUUACCCUGGUGCACCACCUGCGAGCCACCCAGGCUAUGGCCAGCAGCAGUUAUAUGCUGAUCCUUAUGGUACUGGUAGCUAUGGGCAGCAUACGGCGUAUUCUACUGAAGCUACCGCACCUGCUGCAUCCCAGGAUCAAUCCGCCGCUGCACCUGUACCGACGGCUGCAACUGCUGCUCCUGCCCCUGAUAACGGUGGUGGUGCGCAAGCUUCUCCAAGUUAAACUACACCUGCUCCUGCCUCAGCUACAUCUGCAAUCUUUUAUUGGCUCUGUUACAUCGUAUUAUCAUUUUAAUUGUUGCUUUAGCCUGGACUUCGGUUAUGUCUUUCUCUGG